GUGGGAAUGAACAUUAUGAGA
rnacentral:miRNA from 2 species